rnacentral:rRNA from 1 species
UUAGAUACCCUAUUAUUUUGAAUAAAAUUUAGUUGCCUGGUUAGUAAUAGUUAUGUUCUUGAAAAUUAAAGAAGAUGGCGGUAUUUUAGUCUAUUCAGAGGAACCUGUCCUAUAAUUGAUGAUCCACGAUUUAUUAUACUUAUUUUUUUAGUUUGCAUAUCGCCGUAGAUUGAAUAUUUUUAAAGGAGUAAAACGUUCAAGAGGUUAUUUUUGAAAAUAAAUCAGGUCAAGAUGUAGCUUAUAAAUAAGAAGAGAUGGGUUACAAUAAAUUUAUUUAUAGCGAAUUAAUAGUUGAAAAUUAUUAUGAAGAUGGAUUUGAUAGUAAUAUUAUUUAAAUUUAUAAUAUGAUUUUAGCUCUAAAGUAUGUACACAUCGCCCGUCG